UACGGGGGGGGCAAGCGUUGUUCGGAAUCACUGGGCGUAAAGGGCGCGUAGGCGGCUCAUGAAGGCUGUGGUGAAAGUCCGGGGCUCAACCUCGGAUCGGCCGUGGCGACUCGUGGGCUGGAGCACUGUAGAGGCGGGUGGAAUUCCGGGUGUAGCGGUGGAAUGCGUAGAGAUCCGGAAGAACACCAGUGGUGAAGGCGGCCCGCUGGGCAGUGGCUGACGCUGAAGCGCGACAGCGUGGGGAGCAAACAGG
rnacentral:rRNA from 1 species